UACGUAGGUGGCGAGCGUUGUCCGGAUUUACUGGGCGUAAAGCGCGCGCAGGCGGUCCGGUAAGUCUCCGGUGAAAUCGCCCGGCUCAACUGGCGGGUGCCGGGGAGACGUGGCGGACUUGAGGAGCCUAGAGGCCGGUGGAACUCCCGGUGUAGUGGUGAAAUGCGUAGAGAUGCGGAGGAACACCGAUGGCGAAGGCAGCCCCCUGGCUGACACUGACGCCUCGAGGACGAAGCGUGGGAGCCAACAGGA
rnacentral:rRNA from 1 species